CCUGGCUUUGGUUAAAUGCUUUCCUCCCCUACUACCUGUUUAUGAGGCAUUUCUCCUUGAACAGAACCUGUGACUUGAAUGCGUCCUGGUUCACCAGAGGUGACGAGAACAGAGGUAAGAAAGCAAAUAUCUGAGAAGUUAAGUAACCUGGCCAAGGCAUCAAGCUGGAAUUUGAAUCCAGGCUGACGGGUUUACUUGUUCAGUAGACAAGCGCCUCAGAUCCACCAGGGCAAACAUUCUGAGCAAGGAGCUCACUGAAUAUAAACGGGCCGCCCUGUCACUGCAUUUGGCAAGCAAUCAUCCUAAGAGUUUUCAGGUGGGUGAAAGAAC